rnacentral:rRNA from 1 species
UACGAAGGGGGCUAGCGUUGUUCGGAUUUACUGGGCGUAAAGCGCACGUAGGCGGAUCUUUAAGUCAGAGGUGAAAUCCCAAGGCUCAACCUUGGAACUGCCUUUGAUACUGGGGAUCUCGAGUUCGGGAGAGGUGAGUGGAACUGCGAGUGUAGAGGUGAAAUUCGUAGAUAUUCGCAAGAACACCAGUGGCGAAGGCGGCUCACUGGCCCGAGUACUGACGCUGAGGCACGAAAGC